rnacentral:tRNA from 1 species
CAGGGAAUAGUUUAUUUAAAAUAUUAACUUUGGAGGUUAGUGAUAGGAGUAUCAUUCUUUUCCUUGA